AACGAACGCUGGCGGCAUGCCUAACACAUGCAAGUCGAACGAGACCUUCGGGUCUAGUGGCGCACGGGUGCGUAACGCGUGGGAACCUGCCCUUAGGUUCGGAAUAACUCCCCGAAAGGGGUGCUAAUACCGGAUAAUGUCUUCGGACCAAAGAUUUAUCGCCUUUGGAUGGGCCCGCGUUGGAUUAGCUAGUUGGUAGGGUAAAAGCCUACCAAGGCGACGAUCCAUAGCUGGUCUGAGAGGAUGAUCAGCCACACUGGGACUGAGACACGGCCCAGACUCCGAGGGAGGGAGGGGGGGGGAAGUAGAGAAGAAGGGGGGAAGGCGUGACCCAGCAGGGCGGGGGGAGAAAGGAAGCCUUUGGGGUAAAAAAGUUUUUUUCCCGGGAGUGAAAAGGACGGUACGGGGAAAAGAGGCCCCGGCUAACUCCGUG
rnacentral:rRNA from 1 species